GAUGAACGCUGGCGGCGUGCCUAAUACAUGCAAGUCGAGCGAACAGACGAGGAGCUUGCUCCUCUGACGUUAGCGGCGGACGGGUGAGUAACACGUGGAUAACCUACCUAUAAGACUGGGAUAACUUCGGGAAACCGGAGCUAAUACCGGAUAAUAUAUUGAACCGCAUGGUUCAAUAGUGAAAGACGGUUUUGCUGUUACUUAUAGAUGGAUCCGCGCCGCAUUAGCUAGUUGGUAAGGUAACGGCUUACCAAGGCAACGAUGCGUAGCCGACCUGAGAGGGUGAUCAGCCACACUGGAACUGAGACACGGUCCAGACUCCUACGGGAGGCAGCAGUAGGGAAUCUUCCGCAAUGGGCGAAAGCUUGACGGAGCAACGCCGCGUGAGUGAUGAAGGUCUUCGGAUCGUAAAACUCUGUUAUUAGGGAAGAACAAAUGUGUAAGUAACUAUGCACGUCUUGACGGUACCUAAUCAGAAAGCCACGGCUAACUACGUG
rnacentral:rRNA from 1 species